rnacentral:rRNA from 1 species
AGCGAACCGGGAAGAGCUCAAAUUUGUAAUCUGGCGCCCCUCGGGCUCAGAGUUGUAAUCUACAGAGGCGUUUUCCGUGCCGGCCCGUGCCCAACUUUGCUUGGAACAGUGAGAUCAAAGAGGGUGAAAAUCCCGUACUUGACACGACCGCCGGUGCUAUGUGAUACGUCUUCUAAGAGUCGAGUUGUUUGGGAAUGCAGCUCAAAACGGGUGGUAAAUUCCAUCUAAGGCUAAAUAUUGGCGAGAGACCGAUAGCGAACAAGUACCGUGAGGGAAAGAUGAAAAGCACUUUGGAAAGAGAGUUAAACAGCACGUGAAAUUGUUGAAAGGGAAACGAUUGAAGUCAGUCGUGUCCGAGGGGUUCAGCCGGUCCUGCCGGUGCAUUCCUCUCGGACGGGUCAACAUCGGUUUUGUCCGGCGGACAAGGGCAUGGGGGAAAGUGGCACCUUCGGGUGUGUUAUAGCCCCGUGUCGCAUACGUCGGACGARACCGAGGAACGCAGCUCGCCUCACGGCCGGGGUUCGCCCACGUACGAGCUUAAG